AAUGAACGUUGGCGGCAUGGAUUAGGCAUGCAAGUCGGGGGAAUCCCAGCAAUGGGGGAACCGGCGUAAGGGGCAGUAAGGCAUGGGUACCUACCUUGGGGUUCGGGAUAGCCAUCAGAGAUGGUGGGUAAUACCGGAUGACGUCGUGAGACCAAAGAUUUAUCGCCCUUAGAGGGGCCCAUGCGAUAUUAGCUAGUUGGUGGGGUAACGGCCCACCAAGGCGAAGAUGUCUAGCGGGUGUGAGAGCACGACCCGCGCCACUCGCACUGAGACACUGGCGAGACACCUACGGGUGGCUGCAGUCGAGGAUCUUCGGCAAUGAGCGCAAGCUUGACCGAGCGAUGCCGCGUGAGCGAUGAAGGCCUUCGGGUUGUAAAGCUCUUUAGUGGGGGAGAAAAGCCGCAAGGUGUGAUCUAUCCCAAAAAUAAGCACGGGCUAAGUUCGUGCCAGCAGCCGCAGUAA
rnacentral:rRNA from 1 species